GCAGCAGACAAGCUGCAAAGAGCUACUUUUCUCCCGCCUCUCAGCUGAUCGGCGGGUGGGCGGGGCUUCCACGGAGGCCUCCUGUAGGCCUCUGUGAAGCCUGAACUCCAGUAGGGCCCAAGCCAGCCAGGAAGGAGGAGGCAGCCAGAGAGGCCUCCACUGUUCUCUGCAGCAGAAGACCCCCUGCUGCCAGAUAUUCAGCAAAGCCAAUGCUUGUGAAAUGUGUAUGCUGAAGUACUUACCUUACUAUCCAGUUUUUUCAUGGCUACCAGAUCCAAAGACUUCAGUGAGUGCCCAGUUGGAGUGAUGAAGUAAAGGCAGACAUGGAUUCUUGUGUCAUGAUAAUUAAAGAGGGAACGUCGGAUUUUCAGCUCUUCUUGCAAGUAGUUUUCAAACUGCGUGUCAAUGUAAUCAACUAUGGGCCUGUAACUAAACACGAUUUUCAUUAGCAACCUGAAUGCUACAGAUUAUAAAGAUUGACUGGACACUUUCAGGAGCAUUGCAUCGAAAGCUUCCAGGCAGCGGAAAUGACACUCAGGACCUCCUGGUGUCAGAUCAAUGGCCGGUAAUCCUCCAGGCCAUGAGGUGAAGACUCUUCACAUCUUGAUGAAGUACUGAUCUUUGCUCUCUGCCCCCUGCAUCGAAGUCAUGUCAGUCAAGUGGAGCUUCUUUAGGAAUCCUUGAUCUGUUUCCUUUGACUCGGACAUAAGCAGCUUUGUUCAAUCACACACACCCCGGAGGGAAGUGGAGGUGGGGGCUGUGUAUUCCUCCACAUGACUAGUGAGCCAGGUCAUCUCACCAUCUGCAGCUACACCAGUCUUUCUUGUCACACCAAUAUUUUGUUCUCCUCCAUCUCCAGGAACUUCCAUCUGUUCUUUUUCUCUCACUGUAGACUAUGAAACAAUCUUUAUGGGAAGCUUUAGUUAUUAAAUGAAUCAAAUAUG